CUAUGACUGUGAUGUCAUUUCCAUGGAGACCACUGUAGUCUGAUGAGUAGAAACUAAUCAUGUCUCCAGGAUCUUGUUUUGUUCUUGGAUCUAACAAAAUGUGGAAGCUCUGCUUUCCUGCUGCUGGCAGAUUCUUUAAUGGGUAUUCUUUCUAGGGUGAUAACAAGGGUCAAGUGUUCUUGCUGUGAGAGAAAGGCAGCAGAGCUGGGCAGUUUUGUAUGCUGUGGAAUCUUCUCGGGUCUCACUGUGUGUGUUCAGGGGAAUGUGAUGAACUGGGAAGAGGAAGACCAUCAUUGCAUAACUUCCACUGAUGGAGUCUGCACAGUAUAAAAGCAAAGGAUUUAAUCUCUGCAUCCCAGAAGCUGGAGCUGGUAGAGAAGAAUACAUUGUGAUGUGACAUCUGUCAGACAGAAAGGGUGACUAGAACAUGGUGACAUUAUGGGUAAGUCACUUGUCUUCCUGCAUCCUUAUCCAUUAAGGGCGAUCACAUUAUCCAGUCUUUUGUUCAUCAGCAAACCUUUGAGGCAUCAAUGCCUUGUCAUCUCAGAUGGAUGGUAGGACCAUGUACUUUGCAGUAAAUUAUAUUAUAUCAACUGUUCCAGGACUUCCUGGUCGGUGUUAUACUGGAGGCACUCUGACCUAAGAGGCUGCAGGGGUAGUAU
rnacentral:lncRNA from 1 species